UACGUAGGGUGCGAGCGUUAAUCGGAAUUACUGGGCGUAAAGCGUGCGCAGGCGGUCUGUUAAGACCGAUGUGAAACCCCCGGGCUUAACCUGGGAACUGCAUUGGUGACUGGCAGGCUUUGAGUGUGGCAGAGGGAGGUAGAAUUCCACGUGUAGCAGUGAAAUGCGUAGAGAUGUGGAGGAAUACCGAUGGCGAAGGCAGCCUCCUGGGCCAACACUGACGCUCAUGCACGAAAGCGUGGGGAGCAAACAGG
rnacentral:rRNA from 1 species